rnacentral:rRNA from 1 species
UACGUAGGUGGCGAGCGUUGUCCGGAAUUACUGGGUGUAAAGCGCGUGUAGGCGGGAGGCCAAGUCUGUGGUGAAAUCGCUCGGCUUAACUGGGCGGGGUCCAUGGAAACUGGUCACCUGGAGGUCGGUAGAGGCAAGUGGAAUUCCCGGUGUAGUGGUGAAAUGCGUAGAGAUCAGGAGGAACACCGGUGGCGAAGGCGGGUCUCUGGGCCGAUACUGACGCUGAGGAGCGAAAGCGUGGGGAGCGAACAGG